rnacentral:rRNA from 1 species
GGCUACUUCUAGUCUUGUAAUUGGAAUGAGUACAACUUACAUCUCUUCACGAGGAUCAAUUGGAGGGCAAGUCUGGUGCCAGCAGCCGCGGUAAUUCCAGCUCCAAUAGCGUAUAUUAAAGUUGUUGCAGUUAAAAAGCUCGUAGUCGGAUUUCGGGGCGGGCCGAGCGGUCUGCCGAUGGGUAUGCACUGUUCGGCGCGUCCUUCUUUCCGGAGACCGCGUCUACUCUUAACUGAGCGGGMGYGGGAGACGGAUCGUUUACUUUGAAAAAAUCAGAGUGUUUCAAGCAGGCAGCUCGCUCUUGCAUGGAUUAGCAUGGGAUAAUGAAAUAGGACUCUGGUGCUAUUUUGUUGGUUUCGAACACCGGAGUAAUGAUUAACAGGGACAGUCA